rnacentral:rRNA from 1 species
GAUGAACGCUGGCGGCGUGCCUAAUACAUGCAAGUCGAGCGAACGGACGAGAAGCUUGCUGCUCUGAUGUUAGCGGCGGACGGGUGAGUAACACGUGGAUAACCUACCUAUAAGACUGGGAUAACUUCGGGAAACCGGAGCUAAUACCGGAUGAUAUUUUGAACCGCAUGGUUCAAAAGUGAAAGACGGUCUUGCUGUCACUUAUAGCUGGAUCCGCGCUGCAUUAGCUAGUUGGUAAGGUAACGGCUUACCAAGGCAACGAUGCCUAGCCGACCUGAGAGGGUGAUCGGCCACACUGGAACUGAGACACGGUCCAGACUCCUACGGGAGGCACCAGUAGGGAAUCUUCCGCAAUGGGCGGAAGCCUGACCGAGCAACGCCGCGUGAGUGAUGAAGGUCUUCGGAUCGUAAAACUCUGUUAUUAGGGAAGACCAUAUGUGUAAGUAACUGUGCACAUCUUGACGGUACCUAAUCAGAAAGCCACGGCUAACUACGUG